GAUGAACGCUGGCGGCGUGCCUAAUACAUGCAAGUCGAGCGAACGGACGAGAAGCUUGCUUCUCUGAUGUUAGCGGCGGACGGGUGAGUAACACGUGGAUAACCUACCUAUAAGACUGGGAUAACUUCGGGAAACCGGAGCUAAUACCGGAUAAUAUUUUGAACCGCAUGGUUCAAAAGUGAAAGACGGUCUUGCUGUCACUUAUAGAUGGAUCCGCGCUGCAUUAGCUAGUUGGUAAGGUAACGGCUUACCAAGGCAACGAUGCAUAGCCGACCUGAGAGGGUGAUCGGCCACACUGGAACUGAGACACGGUCCAGACUCCUACGGGAGGCAGCAGUAGGGAAUCUUCCGCAAUGGGCGAAAGCCUGACGGAGCAACGCCGCGUGAGUGAUGAAGGUCUUCGGAUCGUAAAACUCUGUUAUUAGGGAAGAACAUAUGUGUAAGUAACUGUGCACAUCUUGACGGUACCUAAUCAGAAAGCCACGGCUAACUACGUGCCAGCAGCCGCGGUAAUACGUAGGUGGCAAGCGUUAUCCGGAAUUAUUGGGCGUAAAGCGCGCGUAGGCGGUUUUUUAAGUCUGAUGUGAAAGCCCACGGCUCAACCGUGGAGGGUCAUUGGAAACUGGAAAACUUGAGUGCAGAAGAGGAAAGUGGAAUUCCAUGUGUAGCGGUGAAAUGCGCAGAGAUAUGGAGGAACACCAGUGGCGAAGGCGACUUUCUGGUCUGUAACUGACGCUGAUGUGCGAAAGCGUGGGGAUCAAACAGGAUUAGAUACCCUGGUAGUCCACGCCGUAAACGAUGAGUGCUAAGUGUUAGGGGGUUUCCGCCCCUUAGUGCUGCAGCUAACGCAUUAAGCACUCCGCCUGGGGAGUACGACCGCAAGGUUGAAACUCAAAGGAAUUGACGGGGACCCGCACAAGCGGUGGAGCAUGUGGUUUAAUUCGAAGCAACGCGAAGAACCUUACCAAAUCUUGACAUCCUUUGACAACUCUAGAGAUAGAGCCUUCCCCUUCGGGGGACAAAGUGACAGGUGGUGCAUGGUUGUCGUCAGCUCGUGUCGUGAGAUGUUGGGUUAAGUCCCGCAACGAGCGCAACCCUUAAGCUUAGUUGCCAUCAUUAAGUUGGGCACUCUAAGUUGACUGCCGGUGACAAACCGGAGGAAGGUGGGGAUGACGUCAAAUCAUCAUGCCCCUUAUGAUUUGGGCUACACACGUGCUACAAUGGACAAUACAAAGGGCAGCGAAACCGCGAGGUCAAGCAAAUCCCAUAAAGUUGUUCUCAGUUCGGAUUGUAGUCUGCAACUCGACUACAUGAAGCUGGAAUCGCUAGUAAUCGUAGAUCAGCAUGCUACGGUGAAUACAAUCCCGGGUC
rnacentral:rRNA from 1 species